UUUUAGCUUCUGACCACCUGACUACAUACAUAGUUUGACUCUUCUAAAAACUUACCCCACACAUCUGCAGGCAGGAGACCUAUCAUUGGAUCCUGCUUAAACAACCCAUUUCCUCUCCCCAGCUGCACCUCUCUCCUCGUCUCUCCAUCUGAGGGGCUAUUUCAGAGUCCUCUGUUUCAAGUUCAACCCAACCAGUGAGAAUGUUACUGCUGCAGGUUCUUAUUGUGACUUCAACAUGGUCUUCUGGAUCUUCGCAAAUAACUCUGACACAAACUCCACUGUCUGUCACCAGAGCGGUAACUAAAAGUGCAUAUAUGUGGUGUAACAUUUCUGGCGGAAGUUUUAAUUUUAAGGAUGAUUAUAUACACUGGUAUCGACAGAGCCCCGGGGCAGCUCCAAAGAGGAUUCUGUAUAUUAGAGGAGAAUUAGUUUCUACAGAUGAAGGCUUUGAUAACAAAAAGUUUAAAGCUGAUAAUUCUGUUUCUGCAUCCACCUCAAAGCUCGCAGUACACAACGUAGCCAGUGAGGAUGCUGCAACCUAUUAUUGUGCCACCUGGGAUGGGCAUUUCUAUGGUGCUGUCACAGUAGUAUCUGGGUACUUAAACACUAAUGAAUUUAUUUUCACAACAGCCCUGUGA